GGUGGUGGAGCUGGUUCCUGGGCUGGAGACAUCACAGAGGGACUGUGAUUGCGUGAACUAUCUGCUUCCUAUCCCUCCCCGCCGGCCCCUACCUCCACGCCUCCCUCUUAUCCUGCUUUCCAGCUCUGUUCGGGAGAACUGUCAGCGCCAGCCCCACAUAGCAGAGGAGCUGAUCAGCAUCUAGGAUGAAGUUGCUUGAUGCACACACUGCUGGCCUUAGUGGGAUGCAUGCUAAGGUUGUGUUGUGGUGCUGGUGCUCCUCUACCUGCUAUGAUCAGGACACUUUGAAGUAGCUCUCAGCUGGAUCUCUAGGUAGAAUGGGGAGGGUGUUGUUGGGAAGAAGCUUGUCUUGGCAUUUGAGUUAGUAUAUCUGGACACUGCCACGAGGAAAGAAACUGCUGGCGUCCUAGCUGACAGUGCCUGCAAGGAUGGCAGCGACAGGAAAAAGCUUUCUCUGGUGCCACCGUAGCCUGUGUAGUGCUGGAGAGCUCCUAGAUAAACACAGAGGCAAUUCUUCACUCUGCUGUAUUCGAACCAUUGUGCAUGUGGCAGUGUUAUGAGAAGACUUACAGCUGGGCAUUGCUGGCCAAUUGAUUUGGCAUGGUCCUGCUGGGAAGAAGUGUCUGACUCCUAGCUGGAUGCGUGAGAAUGGCAGCAAGUCUGAAUCCUGUAAUAGAAGCUCAAGAAAGCUCCCUGCAGGAGGAAAAUUGAGAGACGGUGUGAUUGAUAGCCACCAAGGAAGAAGAUUUCAACUGUGACACUGGAGUCAAGCGCUCGUAUUCUGUAUGGAAAGAGCGUAUGCCCUGUCACUACGGACACCUCACUGUGCCUCCAGCAUUGGGUUUAUUAACCAGACUUUGGGUAGCAAAGAUUGUAGCUGUGUCUCUGCAUCCUGCCUAGGUUGCUUGCAUCUGAAAUAGAAAAUGCUGAACCGCAAGGUGCCUGAAAAUGCCCUCUUUCACUCAUGUGGUAUAAUUACUGGAGGUUAAAAUGAAGGGUGCCUGUGCUGAUGCAUCAUCUGCAGUGCAGAGUUGGAGCGUACAUGUGUUACGUAUCUGGGACACUGCUAAUGAACCGCUUGUAAAGGGCUGGGUUUACUCUAGGGUGCUUGGCACUGACAGACCAGAAAAGGAUUUAGGGGCUGCAGAUGGAAAGAGGGGGGCGUGUGGAGAAUGUGAUCCAGAGUCUUUGUUUUAUAAUGGGGACUAUUUUUUUGUUUUGCUUUGUUUUGUUUCAAAGCAGAGGCUGGGGGCCUUCAGCAGGAUGGCGCAUCUGUGAUCUGCAGACUGAAUAAAGCACUUGAGUUUGGAUUCA